UCUGGCCUCCUCGCCAGUCGCCACCUUUAUUCGUAACCCUCUCCUCUUCCAAGAAAAACCACGAGCAGCUAGUGAGCUACCAGCCUACCCUCUCAGUCCUCCCAUCUUCAAUUCUCUGAACCUGUACCUUUCUUUCACGAAAGCCGGCCACCAAGGGUAAGAGGGAUUUGUAAUCUCGGAAUUCUGCCGCGUUCACCAUCGUCCCACCACCUUCCGAUGGAGAUCCAAUUGGGUUCAACUACCACCGUUUCUCACCAAUCGCGUUUCUCACCACCACCACCACCGCCCGUUUUUCUUCGAAUUUAAGUGAAUUUAUGCACUACGGAGGGUUUUGGCUCCAUUUUAUUUUUUAAUCGAAAGAGGGAACGAUCUCAGUAGAGACUCGCAGCAAAUGCAAGGGCAUAGGAAAGCAGAGGUAAUCGGUUCCUGAACAUGAUUGGUUUAGGUCCUGCAAAGCCUAGUUCAAGGUUUCAUUUGGAUACUCAAGUGACUCAAAUAACUAGCCCGGUGAAUUUCAGUAUCAAUCUCCUGAGUUGGGGAGAAUUUCAUGGCCAACGACGGUUGUGAAUCCGAAGAUGGGUCUGUCAGAAUAGAGGAGAUAGUAGAUGGCAAAGACCAGAGUAAUAUAGUAACUAGCUUUGUUGAAAAGGCAAUUGGAGAUAAAUGCUCAAAUCGUGGAAUGAAGCAGUUUACUAAGAGCUUAAGUGAGUGGUCAGGAUCAGAAGGAUAAUAUGUGUCUACACUCCGAGGAUUGCGCCUUAUGCGAGGAAUUUGAUGUGGUUCGUGAGCAAUGGGCUAAGUUUUUUACCAGCAAGUAUUUAUUAUUGGCUUUAGCGCGCUUGAUCGAGUUG